rnacentral:rRNA from 1 species
AUGAACGCUGGCGGCGUGCCUAAUACAUGCAAGUCGAGCGAACAGACGAGGAGCUUGCUCCUCUGACGUUAGCGGCGGACGGGUGAGUAACACGUGGAUAACCUACCUAUAAGACUGGGAUAACUUCGGGAAACCGGAGCUAAUACCGGAUAAUAUAUUGAACCGCAUGGUUCAAUAGUGAAAGACGGUUUUGCUGUCACUUAUAGAUGGAUCCGCGCCGCAUUAGCUAGUUGGAAGGUAACGGCUUACCAAGGCAACGAUGCGUAGCCGACCUGAGAGGGUGAUCGGCCACACUGGAACUGAGACACGGUCCAGACUCCUACGGGAGGCAGCAGUAGGGAAUCUUCCGCAAUGGGCGAAAGCCUGACGGAGCAACGCCGCGUGAGUGAUGAAGGUCUUCGGAUCGUAAAACUCUGUUAUUAGGGAAGAACAAAUGUGUAAGUAACUAUGCACGUCUUGACGGUACCUAAUCAGAAAGCCACGGCUAACUACGUG